rnacentral:rRNA from 1 species
UACGAAGGGGGCUAGCGUUGUUCGGAAUCACUGGGCGUAAAGCGCACGUAGGCGGAUUCUUAAGUCAGAGGUGAAAUCCCAAGGCUCAACCUUGGAACUGCCUUUGAUACUGGGAAUCUUGAGUAUGGUAGAGGUAGGUGGAACUGCGAGUGUAGAGGUGAAAUUCGUAGAUAUUCGCAAGAACACCAGUGGCGAAGGCGGCCUACUGGACCAUAACUGACGCUGAGGUGCGAAAGCGUGGGGAGCAAACAGG